AGCGCAGUCUGUCGGCGACGCUGAAACGCUGCUGGAUCUGUGGGCGGAGCAUUUUUAAGGUCAUCUGCACCUUCUGACUGGGAAAAGAUGGUCAACGUCUUGAAAGGAGUGCUUAUAGAAUGCUCUGUGGCUUUGCCGUUCACUCUGCGUAGGAUGGUCUACCCCACGUCACUUCAUGGUUUGCUCACUACCUCCUUCUGAUGUGUAUUCAGACAUCACCUGCUCAUGACCCUGCCAUGAAGCAAUUUCUGCUGUACUUGGAUGAGUCAAAUGCCCUAGGGAAGAAGUUCAUCAUUCAAGACAUUGAUGACACUCACAUCUUCGUAAUAGCAGAGUUGGUUAAUGUCCUCCAGGAGCGAGUAGGUGAAUUAAUGGACCAAAAUGCCUUUUCUCUUACCCAGAAGUGAAAAUAUUAGAUAAUGAUCACUUAGGAAUUAAAAGUAACAAAUGUGAGAGACUCACCAUUCGAUGUCUUGUGUGACCGAUUAGAUUUACAGAAUUGCUCGGAAGCAUGUGACAGGGAAGACUGUGAUAUCAUUUGUUCAUAAGAAAGCCCCUGAACUGACUUUCUUGUUCUGUUUUUUUCAUUGUGUGUACCCUAGAAUUUAAAAAAAAAAAAAAAAGCUUUAACAGUUGGCUGUAAUUUGGCUUUUAUUAACCUUUAUUAAAAUAUAAAUGUAAUUGGU